GAUGAACGCUGGCGGCGUGCCUAAUACAUGCGAGUCGAGCGAACAGACGAGGAGCUUGCUCCUCUGACGUUAGCGGCGGACGGGUGAGUAACACGUGGAUAACCUACCUAUAAGACUGGGAUAACUUCGGGAAACCGGAGCUAAUACCGGAUAAUAUAUUGAACCGCAUGGUUCAAUAGUGAAAGACGGUUUUGCUGUCACUUAUAGAUGGAUCCGCGCCGCAUUAGCUAGUUGGUAAGGUAACGGCUUACCAAGGCGACGAUGCGUAGCCGACCUGAGAGGGGGAUCGGCCACACUGGAACUGAGACACGGUCCAGACUCCUACGGGAGGCAGCAGUAGGGAAUCUUCCGCAAUGGGCGAAAGCCUGACGGAGCAACGCCGCGUGAGUGAUGAAGGUCUUCGGAUCGUAAAACUCUGUUAUUAGGGAAGAACAAAUGUGUAAGUAACUAUGCACGUCUUGACGGUACCUAAUCAGAAAGCCACGGCUAACUACGUG
rnacentral:rRNA from 1 species